UGAGUAACACGUGGGCAAUCUGCCCUGCACUCUGGGACAAGCCCUGGAAACGGGGUCUAAUACCGGAUAUUGACCUUCACGGGCAUCUGUGAGGUUCGAAAGCUCCGGCGGUGCAGGAUGAGCCCGCGGCCUAUCAGCUUGUUGGUGAGGUAAUGGCUCACCAAGGCGACGACGGGUAGCCGGCCUGAGAGGGCGACCGGCCACACUGGGACUGAGACACGGCCCAGACUCCUACGGGAGGCAGCAGUGGGGAAUAUUGCACAAUGGGCGAAAGCCUGAUGCAGCGACGCCGCGUGAGGGAUGACGGCCUUCGGGUUGUAAACCUCUUUCAGCAGGGAAGAAGCGAAAGUGACGGUACCUGCAGAAGAAGCGCCGGCUAACUACGUGCCAGCAGCCGCGGUAAUACGUAGGGCGCAAGCGUUGUCCGGAAUUAUUGGGCGUAAAGAGCUCGUAGGCGGCUUGUCACGUCGGUUGUGAAAGCCCGGGGCUUAACCCCGGGUCUGCAGUCGAUACGGGCAGGCUAGAGUUCGGUAGGGGAGAUCGGAAUUCCUGGUGUAGCGGUGAAAUGCGCAGAUAUCAG
rnacentral:rRNA from 1 species